GUGAGGAAUAUUGGGCAAUGGGCGAAACCCUGAUCUAGCCAUGCCGCGUGAGCGAUGAAGGCCUUAGGGUUGUAAAGCUCUUUCAGCUGGGAAGAUAAUGACGGUACCAGCAGAAGAAGCCCCGGCUAACUCCGUGCCAGCAGCCGCGGUAAUACGGAGGGGGCUAGCGUUGUUCGGAAUUACUGGGCGUAAAGCGCACGUAGGCUGAUAUUUAAGUCAGGGGUGAAAUCCCGGGGCUCAACCCCGGAACUGCCUUUGAUACUGGGUAUCUUGAGUAUGGAAGAGGUCAGUGGAAUUGCGAGUGUAGAGGUGAAAUUCGUAGAUAUUCGCAGGAACACCAGUGGCGAAGGCGGCUGACUGGUCCAUUACUGACGCUGAGGUGCGAAAGCGUGGGGAGCAAACAGGAUUAGAAACCCUUGUAGUCC
rnacentral:rRNA from 1 species